UUUCAAAUAUGGUUGGAGAUGUUUGCUUGACCAUGCUUUCAGAUGAUGAGUUUUCUGACAAACAUCUCCAGCGAUAUUUGAAACU